rnacentral:rRNA from 1 species
GUAAACCUCAAUGAGCAGGGAAGAUAGUGACGGUACCUGACUAAGAAGCACCGGCUAACUACGUGCAAGACGCCGCGGUAAGA